rnacentral:rRNA from 1 species
UACAGAGGGUGCGAGCGUUAAUCGGAAUUACUGGGCGUAAAGCGCGCGUAGACGGUUUUGUACGUCAGAUGUGAAAUCCCUGGGCUCAACCUGGGAACUGCAUUUGAGACUGCAUGGCUAGAGUAUGGAAGAGGGAAGUGGAAUUUCCGGUGUAGCGGUGAAAUGCGUAGAUAUCGGGAGGAACAGCAGUGGCGAAAGCGGCUUCCUGGUCCAAUACUGACGUUGAUGUGCGAAAGCGUGGGGAGCAAACAGG